rnacentral:rRNA from 1 species
AUGGAACCUGAUGCUAAACCAGUUGUUAACCACCAACGUCGGUUAAAUCCGAAGAUGAAAGAGGUGGUAAGAACGGAAAUAUUAAAACUUCUAGAAGCAGGUAUAAUCUAUCCCAUAGCUGAUAGUAGAUGGGUAAGUCCUGUUCAUUGUGUCCCUAAGAAAGGAGGUAUAGCUGUUGUUCCUAAUGAUAAGAAUGAACUUAUCCCACAAAGAAUUGUCACAGGCUAUAGAAUGGUAAUUGAUUUUAGAAAAGUAAACAAAGCAACUAGAAAAGAUCAUUGCCUUUGCCUUUUAUUGAUCAAAUGCUUGAAAGAUUAUCUAAGCACACACACUUUUGCUUCCUUGAUGGAUAUUCUGGCUUUUCACAAAUACCUGUUUCUCAACCUAAUUAAGAAAAGACCACUUUUACUUGUCCUUUUGGAACCUAUGCUUAUAGACGUAUGCCUUUUGGUUUAUGUAAUGCACCUGCUACCUUUCAAAGAUGUAUGA